CAGGGAUUGCCCCAGUAACGGCGAGUGAAGCGGCAAGAGCUCAAAUUUGAAAUCUGGCCUCCCCCGGGGGUCCGAGUUGUAAUUUGCAGAGGAUGCUUCGGGCGCGGCCCCCGUCUAAGUUCCUUGGAACAGGACGUCAGAGAGGGUGAGAAUCCCGUCUUGGGCGGGCGGCCCGCGCCCGUGUGAAGCUCCUUCGACGAGUCGAGUUGUUUGGGAAUGCAGCUCUAAGCGGGUGGUAAAUUUCAUCUAAAGCUAAAUACCGGCCGGAGACCGAUAGCGCACAAGUAGAGUGAUCGAAAGGUUAAAAGCACCUUGAAAAGGGAGUUAAACAGCACGUGAAAUUGUUGAAAGGGAAGCGCUUGCGGCCAGACUCGGGGGGCGGGGUUCAGCGGGCGCUCGUCGCCCGUGCACUGCCCGCUCCCCGGGCCAGCAUCAGCUUCGACGGCCGGUCAAAGGCCCCCGGAAUGUGUCGUCUCUAGGGACGUCUUAUAGCCGGGGGUGCAAUGCGGCCCGUCGAGACUGAGGAACGCGCUCCGGCUCGGAUGC
rnacentral:rRNA from 1 species